rnacentral:rRNA from 1 species
CCCGGGUCUUGUACACACCGCCCGUCACACCACGAGAGUUUGUAACACCCGAAGCCGGUGGAGUAACCUUUUAGGAGCUAGCCGUUGAAGGUGGGACAAAUGAUUGGGGUGAAGUCGUAACAAGGUAGCCGUAUCGGAAGGUGCGGCUGGAUCACCUCCUUUCUAAGGA